CCUACGGGGGGCAGCAGUGGGGAAUAUUGCACAAUGGGCGCAAGCCUGAUGCAGCCAUGCCGCGUGUGUGAAGAAGGCCUUCGGGUUGUAAAGCACUUUCAGCGGGGAGGAAGGCGGUGAGGUUAAUAACCUCAUCGAUUGACGUUACCCGCAGAAGAAGCACCGGCUAACUCCGUGCCAGCAGCCGCGGUAAUACGGAGGGUGCAAGCGUUAAUCGGAAUUACUGGGCGUAAAGCGCACGCAGGCGGUCGGUCAAGUCGGAUGUGAAAUCCCCGGGCUCAACCUGGGAACUGCAUUCGAAACUGGCAGGCUAGAGUCUUGUAGAGGGGGGUAGAAGUCCAGGUGUAGCGGUGAAAUGCGUAGAGAUCUGGAGGAAUACCGGUGGCGAAGGCGGCCCCCUGGACAAAGACUGACGCUCAGGUGCGAAAGCGUGGGGAGCAAACAGGAUUAGAUACCCCAGUAGUC
rnacentral:rRNA from 1 species